GGGCAGGAGAGGACCUCGGCCACGCUGACCGUCAGGGCCCUGCCCGCCAAGUUCACCAAGGGUCUGAGGAAGGAAGAGGCCACAGAGGAGGCCACGGCCACACUGCGUUGUGAGCUGAGCAAGGUGGCCCCCGUGGAGUGGAGGAAGGGCUCUGAGACCCUCAGAACCGGUGACAGAGUCGCCUUGAAGCAAGACGGGGUUGUAUGUGAGCUGGAGAUCCGUGGCCUGGCCUUGGUGGAUGCUGGAGAGUACUCCUGCGUGUGCGGACAGGAGAGGACCUCAGCCACGCUGACCGUCAAGGCCCUGCCCGCCAAGUUCACCAAGGGUCUGAGGAAGGAAGAGGCCACAGAGGGCACCACGGCCACACUGCGCUGUGAGCUGAGCAAGGCGGCCCCCGUGGAGUGGAAGAAGGGGCCCGAGACCCUCAGAGCUGGAGACAGAGUCACCCUGAGACAGGAUGGGGCCGUGUGUGAACUGGAGAUCCGUGGCCUGGCCGUGGCGGACGCCGGGGAGUACUCCUGCGUGUGCGGGCAGGAGAGGACCUCAGCCAUGCUGACCG